rnacentral:rRNA from 1 species
GUAGGGAAUAUUGGGCAAUGGUCGGAAGACUGACCCAGCCAUGCCGCGUGCAGGAAGACGGCCCUCUGGGUUGUAAACUGCUUUUAUCUGGGAAGAAAAAGGCCAUGCGUGGCAAAUUGCCGGUACCAGAUGAAUAAGCACCGGCUAACUCCGUGCCAGCAGCCGCGGUAAUACGGAGGGUGCGAGCGUUGUCCGGAUUUAUUGGGUUUAAAGGGUGCGUAGGCGGCUGAUUAAGUCAGCGGUGAAAGACUUCGGCUUAACCGGAGCAGUGCCGUUGAUACUGGUUGGCUUGAGUGUCGGAGGGGUACAUGGAAUUGAUGGUGUAGCGGUGAAAUGCAUAGAUACCAUCAGGAACACCGAUAGCGAAGGCAUUGUACUGGCCGACAACUGACGCUGAUGCACGAAAGUGUGGGGAUCGAACAGGAUUAGAUACCCCAGUAGUC